CUCUGGCAACUCUACUAUACUAUCAAAAAAGCUGAAUUUAUGCUCAAAUAAAACUCAAUCAAAUUAAUAGCCAAGUAGCUCAAUUAGCGCUCCGCUCUGGCCAACCUAUAUGCAAUGAGACAAAACACUUCCCGCUGACCUUUGGCAAUGUCUUUAAGCUGGCUAAACAUGACAAUAUCACGAUCUGAUCUCGCUCAAGACUGUCAAAGAUGUCUCUUUGUUUAGCCAUUUGACCCGCCUGCACAAAAGUCAACGGCUGCAGGGCAAACAAGAGAGAGGGAGAGAAGCAAACUAUAAGAGAUUUAUUAGUUUUUGUCAGCCAAAAAAUAAAAAACCAAACAGAAAAGAGAAAUUCAAAUUGAAGCUGAAAUUGAAAUUUAUUGCUGUUGUUGUUGUUGUUGUUGGUUGCUUUGCGGCUUGUCUGAUAAGCCAAACAGACAAAUGACAUUCAAUUCAUUUGCCUAAGCACCUCUUACAUAUGUAUAUAUAUGUAUGUGUAUAUA